rnacentral:tRNA from 2 species
GCCCCCGUGGUGGAAUGGUAGACACCGGAGACUUAAAAUCUCCUGACCUUUUGGUCGUGCCGGUUCGAGUCCGGCCGGGGGCACCA